rnacentral:rRNA from 1 species
GACGAACGCUGGCGGCGUGCUUAACACAUGCAAGUCGAACGUGAUUUUUGUGUAAAUUCUUUCGGGAAUGGAAAUGAAAUGAAAGUGGCGAACGGGUGAGUAACACGUGAGCAACCUACCUUACACAGGGGGAUAGCCGUUGGAAACGACGAUUAAUACCGCAUGAGACCACAGAAUCGCAUGAUAUAGGGGUCAAAGAUUUAUCGGUGUAAGAAGGGCUCGCGUCUGAUUAGCUAGUUGGAAGGGUAAAGGCCUACCAAGGCGACGAUCAGUAGCCGGUCUGAGAGGAUGAACGGCCACAUUGGAACUGAGACACGGUCCAAACUCCUACGGGAGGCAGCAGUGGGGAAUAUUGCACAAUGGGGGGAACCCUGAUGCAGCGACGCCGCGUGAGCGAAGAAGGUUUUCGAAUCGUAAAGCUCUGUCCUAUGAGAAGAUAAUGACGGUAUCAUAGGAGGAAGCCCCGGCUAAAUACGUG